GACGAACGCUGGCGGCGUGCUUAACACAUGCAAGUCGAGCGAUGAAGUUCCUUCGGGAACGGAUUAGCGGCGGACGGGUGAGUAACACGUGGGUAACCUGCCCCAUAGAGGGGAAUAGCCUUUCGAAAGGAAGAUUAAUACCGCAUAAGAUUGUAGUGCCGCAUGGCAUAGCAAUUAAAGGAGCAAUCCGCUAUGAGAUGGACCCGCGUCGCAUUAGCUAGUUGGUGAGGUAACGGCUCACCAAGGCGACGAUGCGUAGCCGACCUGAGAGGGUGAUCGGCCACAUUGGGACUGAGACACGGCCCAGACUCCUACGGGAGGCAGCAGUGGGGAAUAUUGCACAAUGGGGGAAACCCUGAUGCAGCAACGCCGCGUGAGUGAUGACGGUCUUCGGAUUGUAAAGCUCUGUCUUCAGGGACGAUAAUGACGGUACCUGAGGAGGAAGCCACGGCUAACUACGUGCCAGCAGCCGCCGUAACAC
rnacentral:rRNA from 1 species